rnacentral:rRNA from 1 species
GGAUCCAGACUUUGAUUCUGGCUCAGGAUGAACGCUAGCGGCAGGCUUAACACAUGCAAGUCGAGGGGCAGCGCGGGGCGGCAACGUCCUGGCGGCGACCGGCGGAAGGGUGCGUAACGCGUGAGCGACAUGCCCGUUGCCCGGGGACAACCGGUGGAAACGCCGACUAAUCCCCGAUGGGACGGAGGCCCUCAUGGGUCUCCGUUGAAAGUUACGGCGGCGACGGAUUGGCUCGCGUCCGAUUAGCUUGUUGGCGGGGUAACGGCCCACCAAGGCUACGAUCGGUAGGGGUUCUGAGAGGAAGGUCCCCCACAAUGGAACUGAGACACGGUUCAUACUCCUACGGGAGGCAGCAGUGAGGAAUAUUGGUCAAUGGGCGGAAGCCUGAACCAGCCAUGCCGCGUGCGGGAAGGAGGCCCUAUGGGCUGUGAACCGCUUUUGCCUGGGGGCAAUAAGGGCGUCGCGCACGUCCGAUGAGAGUACCAGGGGAAUAAGCAUCGGCUAACUCCGUGCCAGCAGCCGCGGUAAUACGGGGGAUGCGAGCGUUAUCCGGAUUCAUUGGGUUUAAAGGGUGCGUAGGCUGUGCGUCAAGUCAGGGGUGAAAUUCCGGGGCUCAACCCCGGGGCUGCCCUUGAUACUGUCGCGCUGGAGUGCGGAUGCCGCCGGAGGAAUGAGUGGUGUAGCGGUGAAAUGCUUAGAUACCACUCAGAACACCGAUUGCGAAGGCAUCUGGCGAAUCCGUAACUGACGCUGAGGCACGAAAGCGUGGGGAUAGAACAGGAUUGGAUACCCUGGUAUUCCACGCCGUAAACGAUGAUGGCUAACCGCCGGCGACAUACUGUCGGUGGCCAAGCGAAAGCGAUAAGCCAUCCACCUGGGGAGUACGUCGGCAACGAUGCAACUCAAA